GAUGAACGCUGGCGGCGUGCCUAAUACAUGCAAGUCGAGCGAACAGAUGAGGAGCUUGCUCCUCUGACGUUAGCGGCGGACGGGUGAGUAACACGUGGAUAACCUACCUAUAAGACUGGGAUAACUUCGGGAAACCGGAGCUAAUACCGGAUAAUAUAUUGAACCGCAUGGUUCAAUAGUGAAAGACGGUUUUGCUGUCACUUAUAGAUGGAUCCGCGCCGCAUUAGCUAGUUGGUAAGGUAACGGCUUACCAAGGCAACGAUGCGUAGCCGACCUGAGAGGGUGAUCGGCCACACUGGAUCUGAGACACGGUCCAGACUCAUACGGGAGGCAGCAGUAGGGAAUCUUCCGCAAUGGGCGAAAGCCUGACGGAGCAACGCCGCGUGAGUGAUGAAGGUCUUCGGAUCGUAAAACUCUGUUAUUAGGGAAGAACAAAUGUGUAAGUAACUAUGCACGUCUUGACGGUACCUAAUCAGAAAGCCACGGCUAACUACGUG
rnacentral:rRNA from 1 species